rnacentral:rRNA from 1 species
GAUGAACGCUGGCGGCGUGCUUAACACAUGCAAGUCGAACGGAAAGGCCCAAGCUUGCUUGGGUACUCGAGUGGCGAACGGGUGAGUAACACGUGGGUGAUCUGCCCUGCACUUCGGGAUAAGCCUGGGAAACUGGGUCUAAUACCGGAUAGGACCACCUUUUGGAUGGUGUGGUGGAAAGUUUUUCGGUGUGGGAUGAGCUCGCGGCCUAUCAGCUUGUUGGUGGGGUAAUGGCCUACCAAGGCGUCGACGGGUAGCCGGCCUGAGAGGGUGUACGGCCACAUUGGGACUGAGAUACGGCCCAGACUCCUACGGGAGGCAGCAGUGGGGAAUAUUGCACAAUGGGCGCAAGCCUGAUGCAGCGACGCCGCGUGGGGGAUGACGGCCUUCGGGUUGUAAACUCCUUUCGCUAGGGACGAAGCGUUUUUGUGACGGUACCUGGAGAAGAAGCACCGGCUAACUACGUG